rnacentral:rRNA from 1 species
CCUACGGGUGGCAGCAGUGAGGAAUAUUGGUCAAUGGGCGCGAGCCUGAACCAGCCAAGUAGCGUGAAGGAUGACUGCCCUACGGGUUGUAAACUUCUUUUAUAAAGGAAUAAAGUGAGGCACGUGUGCCUUUUUGUAUGUACUUUAUGAAUAAGGAUCGGCUAACUCCGUGCCAGCAGCCGCGGUAAUACGGAGGAUCCGAGCGUUAUCCGGAUUUAUUGGGUUUAAAGGGAGCGUAGAUGGGUUGUUAAGUCAGUUGUGAAAGUUUGCGGCUCAACCGUAAAAUUGCAAUUGAUACUGGCAGCAUUGAGUACAGUUGAGGUAGGCGGAAUUCGUGGUGUAGCGGUGAAAUGCUUAGAUAUCACGAAGAACCCCGAUUGCGAAGGCAGCGUACCGGCUCCACACUGACGCUGAGGCACGAAAGCGUGGGUAUCGAACAGGAUUAGAUACCCUGGUAGUC